rnacentral:lncRNA from 1 species
GAUUUCUUCAAAUGACAGGACAAGGCAGAAAGAGUGAGAAAGGCCGUCUUCUCAGGUACGUCACUGCCAUUGGCCGGACUACUGAUUCUUCGUCUGAUUCCUGCAUGGCCUGGCCUGUCUCCGUAUUGCGUUGCUUUAUGGAUGCCCCAUCUCCUGAAGACUGCUUCAGAACCAUCAUCUCCAUUAGAGAUUCCACAGACACUUCCCACCCUGGCAGGAUGCAGAGACUUGACCUGAAAGUACACAAGGACCAUCGACAGGAAGGCAGACCCAUCAUUUGGGAAUCUUGACAGAAUGCGGAUUCUGAAUCUGUCUGAGGUCUGAGGUGGGGCCGGGGAUCUGCAUUUCUAGCCAGCUCCCAGAUGACAGAGGUGCCACUGGUCUGUGGACCUUGAGUGGCAUGGCUCCAGUGGUUUGGAGACUCAGUCUCCUGAGUGAUUACCUCAGUUUCCUCCAUUGUCAACUUUGUGGCCUUACGCAAAUGCCUUCGCCUAUGUGUCUAUAGAGCAGGAAUACUUCUUACUUCCCAGGCUCUUGUGAGGAUGGAAAUCAUUAAUAUUUAGUGCCUUUGAUAGUGUCUGUCACUUCCUUCCUGCCUCGACCUUUCUUUCAAGCCCCCUCUGGGUCCCUCUUCGGGCCAAUCUCUGGCUUCCAGUUCUGGAUGUCCCCACUGGAAGAUAUGGUGCAGCUGUCCCAGGGUUUUUUUCUUUCAUUUAAAAAAUAAUAUUUAUUUAUUUUUGAGAGAAAGAGAGAGAGAGAGAGAGAGAGAGCACAACUGGGGGCGGGGGGCAGAGAGAAAGGGAGACACAGAAUCCGAAGCAGGCUCCAGGCUCUGAGCUGUCAGCACAGAGCCCGAUGUGGGGCUCGAACUCACAAACUGUGAGAUCAUGACCGGAGCCAAAGUGGGAUGCUUAACCAACUGAGCCAUGCAGAUGCCCCCCCCCCACCCCCAGGGUUUUUUCAAAGGCAUUCAGUCUGCUCAGGCACCAGCU